rnacentral:rRNA from 4 species
CGCUGGCGGCGUGCCUAAUACAUGCAAGUCGAGCGAACAGACGAGGAGCUUGCUCCUCUGACGUUAGCGGCGGACGGGUGAGUAACACGUGGAUAACCUACCUAUAAGACUGGGAUAACUUCGGGAAACCGGAGCUAAUACCGGAUAACAUGUUGAACCGCAUGGUUCAACAGUGAAAGACGGUCUUGCUGUCACUUAUAGAUGGAUCCGCGCCGCAUUAGCUAGUUGGUAAGGUAACGGCUUACCAAGGCAACGAUGCGUAGCCGACCUGAGAGGGUGAUCGGCCACACUGGAACUGAGACACGGUCCAGACUCCUACGGGAGGCAGCAGUAGGGAAUCUUCCGCAAUGGGCGAAAGCCUGACGGAGCAACGCCGCGUGAGUGAAGAAGGUCUUCGGAUCGUAAAACUCUGUUAUUAGGGAAGAACAAAUGUGUAAGUAACUAUGCACGUCUUGACGGUACCUAAUCAGAAAGCCACGGCUAACUACGUGCCAGCAGCCGCGGUAAUACGUAGGUGGCAAGCGUUAUCCGGAAUUAUUGGGCGUAAAGCGCGCGUAGGCGGUUUUUUAAGUCUGAUGUGAAAGCCCACGGCUCAACCGUGGAGGGUCAUUGGAAACUGGAAAACUUGAGUGCAGAAGAGGAAAGUGGAAUUCCAUGUGUAGCGGUGAAAUGCGCAGAGAUAUGGAGGAACACCAGUGGCGAAGGCGACUUUCUGGUCUGUAACUGACGCUGAUGUGCGAAAGCGUGGGGAUCAAACAGGAUUAGAUACCCUGGUAGUCCACGCCGUAAACGAUGAGUGCUAAGUGUUAGGGGGUUUCCGCCCCUUAGUGCUGCAGCUAACGCAUUAAGC